rnacentral:rRNA from 1 species
CGUAGGGAGCAAGCGUUGUUCGGAUUUACUGGGCGUAAAGGGCGCGUAGGCGGCAAUUCAAGUCACUUGUGAAAUCUCCGGGCUUAACUCGGAACGGUCAAGUGAUACUGCUUUGCUAGAGUGCGGAAGGGGCAAUCGGAAUUCUCGGUGUAGCGGUGAAAUGCGUAGAUAUCGAGAGGAACACCUGAGGUGAAGACGGGUUGCUGGGCCGACACUGACGCUGACAGCGCGAAAGCCAGGGGAGCAAACGGGAUUAGAUACCCCGGUAGUCCUGGCCCUAAACGAUGAAUACUUGGUGUCUGGAGUUAAUAGUGCUCCGGGUGCCGUCGCUAACGUUUUUAGUAUUCCGCCUGGGGAGUACGCUCGCAAGAGUG